AAUUGGUCACAUUCUGCACAAGAAGCUGCAAGGAUUUUGAAGAGAGAGUCAGAAAGCACAGCCACUGCUGGCUCAGGAUCACAGACUGGUACUGGGAUGUGUUCACCCAGUUCUUUUAGCGGUUUGUUUAAUAACAUGCAAACCUCACUAGCUGAAGUACAACAGGGAACCCCUACAGUCGAUUCAGGCAGGAUUGCCUGCACUGUAGCUAGAAAUGACCACAUUCAAAGAAAUCUUGUGCAGCUGUUUCAGCCAUGUGAUCGGGCAAGGGGGCAAAAGAUGUUCCAGAACACUGGAAAGUGUAAACGGAAAACUACACACAGUGAAACCCGGACACAUGAUUUCUUUUGCUUAGCAGAGACCAAUGUUCAAACUGUGCCCAAUGGAGAAGACCACAUUGGUUUACAGAAUUCAGGCCUUGGUAGGAAAAAAAUAACAUUUGCAGACAAAAAUGGAGGAUUUUCUGAACUAUGUGAAACUCUGUUUCUGAGAGAGAACUGAGAGUGGCCUGAACCAGGCAAUGGCCUAUAUUCGACCACUUCAGAAAAACCUGGAGAGCAUUGCGAAGCGUGAGGCUGAAGAGGUAAGAACAGUUGUCAAAAUCUGAUCUCCUCUAUAUUCCUUCUUCUUCGCCUCCCUCUACAGACCUUUCUAUCUGAAUUUCCCUUGAUUCUAUCACCCUUUCCCCUUCCUCCUCUGCCCAAACCUUGGUGUCACCUUUGAUUCCUCCCUUUCCAACUCUCAACAUAUUUCUUCACUGGCACGCUCUUGCCGUCUCUUUUUGAGCAAUAUCUAUUGCAUUAAACCUGCUGGACUAUGGCCCUCGACGAUCAGGACUGGAGAUCACUGGGUUAAGGUGUAAAUGCACAUGUAACACAUACUAUAAAAAUGAAGCAUGUUAAAAAUAAAUGUGUGUUUGUUUGUUGUAGUGUCAAGAGGUGGUCAUGCAGAAGUGCAAGAGGUGUGAAAAAGAUAUCCCUAUGCAAUGCCUUUCAGAACACAUUGAAAACUGUGGAAGACAGCCUGAUGACACUGAUUUGGAAGAUGAUGUCGUUAUGGAGAUAUCUGAAGAGACUCAACUAUCUAUGUCAUGACAUGACAACACAUCCCAUGUUCAAAAUUAUUACAGCAAGCACCAUGCUUCUUGUAGUGGACUGUACAGAGACUAUGUGGACCUUGUCAGUGAAGACAAUGUAUUUAGUGAUUCUGAAGAAGAGCAGCUGAAUAGAGCUCUAGAGGAAUCGCUAAAGGAAAGCUUGCAUGCAGCUGUUCAUGUGGAAGAUAUCCUACAAUCUCUGAGAGUUGGAAUCAAUGAAGAAGUCAUUCGCUUCAACUUAAACAGAAGAAAUGAGUGGGAUGGUGCUGUAAGAGCCAUGAGGAGGCCAAA